rnacentral:rRNA from 1 species
ACUCCUACGGGAGGCAGCAGUGGGGAAUUUUGCGCAAUGGGGGAAACCCUGACGCAGCAACGCCGCGUGAGUGAUGAAGGCCCUUGGGUCGUAAAGCUCUGACAGAGGGAAAGAAAUGUGGGUGGCUAAUAUCCAUUCCACUUGACGGUACCCUCAAAGGAAGCACCGGCUAACUCCGUGCCAGCAGCCGCGGUAAUACGGAGGGUGCGAGCGUUGUUCGGAUUUAUUGGGCGUAAAGCGCGUGUAGGCGGUUUUAUAAGUCUGAUGUGAAAGCCCCGGGCUCAACCUGGGAAGUGCAUUGGAUACUGUAAGACUUGAAUACGGGAGAGGGCAGUGGAAUUCCUGGUGUAGGAGUGAAAUCCGUAGAUAUCAGGAGGAGCACCGGUGGCGAAGGCGGCUGCCUGGACCGAUAUUGACGCUGAGACGCGAAAGCGUGGGUAGCAAACAGGAUUAGAUACCCUGGUAGUCCACGCCGUAAACGAUGAGAACUAGGUGUUGCGGGUA